CCUUCAAUAAUAUUCUUUUUUCAUCAACAAAAUUCUUCUUCAUCUUUUCUCCUUCUCAUCAUCAUCAUCAUCCAUGGCUUCACAAUCUCAUCAAAAGCUCACAGUUUCCACAACAUCACCGAAGAGUGACAGUGGCAGUGGGAGCGGUAACGGUAACGGUAACGGCGGUGGGGUCGCCAAGGGACACUGCUUGUGUUCACCAACCACACAUGAAGGUUCUUUCAGUUUCUCCUCAAUAAUCCUCCUCAUCAUCGCAUGAUCCAUCAUCCAUCCUCAUCAAAUGAAUUCAUGGAUUUUAUUAUUCAUAUAUAUGUGAUUGAUGAUGAGAUGUUAUAGGCCAUGACAUAAAACACAAUCAAGCUAUUUCUAUCUAUAUAUAUUAAUAUAUAAUAUUAUAUAUCUGUGUGUAUUGAUUCAUGUACCCUAUCUUUUGAUUUACUUGCUGGAAUUCAAAGUGUGUUUCAUGGCUUCUCUGCUC